ensembl:lncRNA
CGCGUCGUGACCGGAAACGCGUCAUCGCGUCAACGCGUCAUCACCGGUCCAUGUUUACCGAACGCUGUUCGCCAUUCACUAAAUUUCUCGCAGUCUCUGGCAAAAUGAGACGGUUAGAAACAUAUUUCAUGCGACCUGACACGAUCUGAUCUCCAGCGGUUUCCGAUCGCUGGAGAUCGCACGAUCUGGUCUCCACUCUGUCCGCAACGCAACAUGAACACAACCGUGGAGCCGAAGGAGAGCCAGCAGAUGGCGUUGCUGAACUCGGGAGAGGGAGAGAUGGAGUCACGGGGGUCCGCGACCAAGUCACUCGAUGCCAGCGGAAUUCUGGGGCGUAAACUCGACGAGCUGAUCAGGACACUCGGGCAGCGGGAGAGCAAGCUGACCGAGGCCGUUCAGACCCUCGGCACUCUGGGUGAGGAAGUGCGCAGUAUGCGGCUACAGCUCCAGAGGCAGGAAUCCGAGAUUCUGAAGGAUCAGGGAAUGCUGCGGAACAAACAGAACCAGGACGCGACCCGGAAGCAAACAGCACACGCCUUCAAGACCAGCGAGGCCUACAAGCGCAGGGGACCCGGUCAGCCACCAAGCCGAGGAGAGAUGUCCAACUCCCGGCCGCCUCUGAGGAGGCUGUCAGUGAGGCUGGUGGACUGUGGCUGCUCCCUGGGGCCAAACGGGACACUUUCGGUCCUGCGGGGGGACGGCAGGGACUUUCAUGACCCCGAGUCGCGUCGCCAUAUUCUGAACGUUGGUCCCGCAGAGGACCAGGGCGAUGGCGGCAGCACGUCGGGAGAGCCGGCGCAGGAUUCCCUCAUCUGCUCCCUGGAGAGCCUCGCGGGACAUCGGAAGAGCCACCCGGGCGAGCCUGGCCCCCGAAACACUACCGCUGCGCCAAGUCCUUCACCCAGCUGGGCAACCUCAGGCAGCCACCGCGGCGCCAUGAAGCUCCACCUGCGCACCCACGGCGACGAGGAGGUUCCACGGCGGCAAGAAGCCCUGCACGCAGGCCGACGGGAAGACCGAGCUGCGCCAUCGCAGGCGCCCACGGCCUGAUCAGCUCGCCGGUUCCAGCUUCUCUGCACAACCGUGCCGUCUGCGAUGUCACAUUUGCCCGUGGAAUUGCUGUUAAGAAGCAGGCAUAGUGCCGGGAGAAAUGGAGGAGAGGGGAUCUGUUUUGUACCUGUAGCCGUAUUUUGGUCAAAUACAGCACGUUUGUCCAUUGAUUUCAUGCAUGGGGUUUUUCUUUUUUCUUUUUUUACACCACACCCUUGAAAAAUAGGAGCCUCACCAACACUUAGGUUCUAGCGCAUACGUUAGGGCUGCCACACGUCCGUUUAAAUCCGGAAUACGGUGUUUCAUCAGCACAGGGCAGCGUUUGUCCUCCGAUCGGACUGAGUAGUUGAUGUGAACGGCGCGGAUGGAACCACUGUGUGGCAGCGGCAGCCUUGCGGGUACGGAAGCAGAUCGUUCCACAGCUGCGGAGCUCUAUAAGAGAAGGAUCUGCACCCGGCUGUGACCGUCUGUACACUGAGCCACACCCUUCGCACGCAGGGGGCGUGACCGAUUGUAAAUUACCUUAAAGUUCACUGAGGUACUGCAGGGCGAGACCAUUUAGAGCUCUAUAGGUCAAAAGUAGGAUUUUGAAGUCAAUCCUAAAUUUGAAGACUGGGGUGAUGUGGUCAAAUUUCCUGGUUCUGGUUAGAACUCUGGCUGCAGCAUUCUGUACUAGCUGGAGUUUACUCAUGCACCUACUAGAGCAUCCAGACAGUAAUGCGUUGCAGUAAUCUAACCUUGAUGUUAUAAAGGCAUGGACCAACUUUUCUGCAUUGUGCAUUGAGAUCAUGUUUCUUGUUUUUGCAAUAUUCCUGAGGUGAAAGAAUGCUAUUCUAGUGACAUUAUCUACAUACGAAUCGAAUGAGAGACAUGUGUUGAUGAGGACACCUAGAUCCUUCACUUCAGUACUUGGUGAGAUAGAACGGCUAUCCAGGGUUAUGAUGUAGUCAGCCAGCUUACGACUGGCUGCUUGAGGCCCAAGUACGAGACCUUCUGUCUUAUCAGCGUUCAACAGAAGAAAGUUGGUGAGCAUCCACUGUCUAAUGUCCUUCAGACAAUUCUCUAUUCUGUUCAGCUGCUGCCUUUUCUCUGGCAUUGCUGAUAACUGUUUAUCGUCUGCAUCGCAGUGACAUAAAUGAAUGUCGUCUUAUUACCGAUUGGAGUUUGUAAAUUAAAAGAUUUUUUUAUUCUGCUUGUCUUAUGUUUGUUGGUAGCAAAAUAUUUCAGAUAUUAAGAAUGAAUCAAAAUAUUUUAUUGAGGCCAUAGUUUAAAUGUAAAGUUAAAUGUCCCAUAUCAUGAAAUUUUCACUUUGUGAGAUUAUUUAACAAUACGAGUUCCCCUAGCCUGUCUGUGGUAAUGCAGUGGCUAGAAAUGGUGAUCGUAAGUCACUCUGGAUAAGGGUGUCUGAUAAAUGCCGUAAUUGAACCUGGGUCUUCUGGUUUACAUUCGAGUGUCUUACCGAAAUGGCGCAUCAUGGAAACUCAUUGUGGGUCUGGCUAAAAGUGGCUGUAAAUUUGCACCAAGGCUGAAUUUCGGAAAGAGACUUCAGAUACAGUAUUAGGGGACCAAUAAGAUCAAUGAAGUGUAUCGGAAAUAUUUUUAUUUUUCCAAUAGAUGUGUUUCUUUCUUUUUCUGACAUAGAUUCUCAGACCGGCCAGGUAAAUUAAUUAAGUGCACCGCGAC